rnacentral:rRNA from 1 species
GAUGAACGCUGGCGGCGUGCUUAACACAUGCAAGUCGAACGAUGAAGCCCAGCUUGCUGGGUGGAUUAGUGGCGAACGGGUGAGUAACACGUGAGUAACCUGCCCUUAACUCUGGGAUAAGCCUGGGAAACUGGGUCUAAUACCGGAUAGGAGCGUCCACCGCAUGGUGGGUGUUGGAAAGAUUUAUCGGUUUUGGAUGGACUCGCGGCCUAUCAGCUUGUUGGUGAGUUAAUGGCUCACCAAGGCGACGACGGGUAGCCGGCCUGAGAGGGUGACCGGCCACCGUGGGACGGAGACACGGCCCAGACCCCCAGGGGGGGCAGGAGUGGGGAAUAUUGCAAAAUGGGCGAAAGCCUUGUGCGGCGACGCCGGGGGGGGGAUGACGGCCUUCGGGUUGUAACCCUCUUUCAGUAGGGAAGAAGCGAAAGGGACGGUACCUGCAAAAAAAGCACCGGCUAACUACGU